rnacentral:rRNA from 1 species
AUUGAACGCUGGCGGCAUGCUUUACACAUGCAAGUCGAACGGCAGCACGAAAGAGCUUGCUCUUUUGGUGGCGAGUGGCGAACGGGUGAGUAAUGCAUCGGAACGUACCGAGUAAUGGGGGAUAACUGUCCGAAAGGAUAGCUAAUACCGCAUACGCUUUGAGAAGGAAAGUGGGGGGUCUUCGGACCUCACGUUAUUCGAGCGGCCGAUGUCUGAUUAGCUAGUUGGGGGGGUAAAGUCCUACCAAGGCGACGAUCAGUAGCGGGUCUGAGAGGAGGAUCCGCGACACGGGGACUGAGGCACGGCCCAGACUCCUACGGGAGGCAGCAGUGGGGAAUUGUGGACAAUGGGCGCAAGCCUGAUCCAGCCAUGCCGCGUGUCUGAAGAAGGCCUUCGGGUUGUAAAGGACUUUUGUUAGGGAAGAAAAGGAUAGUGUUAAUACCAUGAUCUGCUGACGGUACCUAAAGAAUAAGCACCGGCUAACUACGUG